AACUUGGGCCUGGCUGGCGGGUCCGCCUCACCGCGUGCACUCGUCCGGCCGGGCCUUCCUUCUGAAGAACCUCAUGCCCUUCACUGGGCGUGCUGGAGAAUCAGGACUUUUACUUUGAAAAAAUUAGAGUGUUCAAAGCAGGCCUUUGCUCGAAUACGUUAGCAUGGAAUAAUAAAAUAGGACGUGCGUUUCUAUUUUGUUGGCUUCUAGAGACGCCGCAAUGAUUAACAGGAACAGUCGGGGGCAUCAGUAUUCAGUUGUCAGAGGUGAAAUUCUUGGAUUUACUGAAGACUAACUACUGCGAAAGCAUUUGCCAAGGAUGUUUUCAUUAAUCAGUGAACGAAAGUUAGGGGAUCGAAGACGAUCAGAUACCGUCGUAGUCUUAACCGUAAACUAUGCCGACUAGGGAUCGGGCGAUGUUCUUUUUCUGACUCGCUCGGCAGCUUACGAGAAAUCAAAGUUUUAGGGUUCUGGGGGGAUUAUGGUCG
rnacentral:rRNA from 1 species